rnacentral:rRNA from 1 species
AUUAGAUAAAACUAGAUUAAUAUUAGUUAUAUACUUAAAAAUUAAAAAAUUUGGCGGUGAUUUAAUCUUAUCAGAGGAACUUGUUUUUUAAUCGAUAAACCACGAAAAAUCUUACUUGUUUUAGUUUAAAAUAUAUCAGUUUGUAUACCAUCAUUGUCAGAUAAUUCUUAAAAGAAAAAUUAUUAAAAAUAAAUAUAAUUAUUUAAAUUAGAUCAUGGUGCAGCUUAUAAACAAGAUAAAAUGAGUUACAAUAAAUUUUUUUAUAAUGAAUUAAUAAAAUAAAUGUUAUUAUGAAGGAGGAUUUGAUAGUAUUAUAAUUUUUAAUAAGUUUAUAAGAAAUUGGCUCUAAAUUAUGUACAUAUCGCCCGUCGCUUUCAUCUAUAAAUGAAAUAAGUCGUAACAUA